CUUCAGAGCACACAAAAGUCUCACCAUGUGUGCCUCUCACCUAGAAACAAUGAGGAAAAUCUUAUAUAGAUGGUACAUGGUCCCAGACAGACUUGCUACAAUAUAUCCAGGCACCAACCCGAAUUGUUGGAGAAACUGUGGGCAACGGGGUACGAUGUUCCACAUAUGGUGGACCUGCCCAGCUCUGACCCCAUACUGGAAACAAG